GUGGCUGUCGCGAAAGGUCGCGAAAUCAUUGAAAGGCUGGCAACACCAAUGUGAGUAUUUGCUGAUGUAUACAUAGAUAUACUGAGUAUGUUCCUAUAUUUACGCAGAUAUUGUGAGUAUCUUUCACCAAAUAUAAGUAUAUUAUAUUAUGAAUAUUGUCCAUAGAUAGAAUACUAUAUCGUCUAUGUGUAUUAAGUGAGUUUUGCACACUUUUCUGUUGAGAGUACCGCGUACAGAAUAUAUCUUGCAUGAGUGAGUGAGUGGUUUACUGUAGUACCAACAUUCCCUGACUAUAAAGUUACAAUAUGGCCGAAAGUACAAAUGCGCGCCAUUUAAGUAGAACUUUUGAAGUUGUGUUUAACUAAAGAUCUAAACAUAUAAAAGUGAGUAGGUUUUGUGUUACCUUUCUAUUCGUACAUGUGAGUUAACUUUGUUUCAUUUUCUACACACACAUGUGAGUUGGUUUUCAUUUCACUUUGAUUUACACACCGCCGAAUACAGCACGUAUAUCUUAUAACAUUAUAAUUUGUUUGUCUUACGGUGAAUGAUCAUUUACUUACCUUAAUUUGUCUGUAUACAGAAUUUACCAUGUAAUCUAGACAUCUGCCCGCGGUGAGCGUGUUUAUGCUUCCAAAUGGGGAAAUUACUUAUAACCAAUUUGAAGGGUGUUUAUACUUACAUUUACACUUUGAAACGCCGCGGCGUUCCAGACUGAUAGCAAAGGCUUCCAUAGUUUAACUUAGUGGAAAUCCUAACAGCAUGCCCAAUAGGGCUUAUGGCUUGUAACCUACCUAAAUGAAUAUCUCGCCGUAUGUUCUCGUCUGGAGAGAUUCCGUGUGGUUGGGAGCUUAAAGCCGCACCCUCUGAGGUCUGAUGCUCUUAGCGGACUUAUAUGGAGGUGAAUGCAUGACCACAAAGCGGUGAUCCUUGAGCCAUCCGGUUGGAGGCGACUGGCAAUCGCCCGGUACUUCCCUCGUAGAGUGGGGAGGAUCCGAUUUAAUUAUGCUUUAACAUUAGUAACCUCACUUUGAGAUGAUGCCGAAAAGGCUCUAUAACAAUAUUAAUAUCUCGCCGUUUGUGCUCGUCUGGAGAGAUUCCGUGUGGUUGGGAGCUUAUAGCCGCACCCUCUGAUGUCUAGUGUUCUGAGCGAUCUCGUAUGGAGGUGAAUGCAUGACCACAAAGCGGUGAUCCUUGAGUCAUCCGGUUGGAGGCGACUAGCAAUCGCCCGGUACUUCCCUCGUAGAGUGGGGGAGGAUCCGAUUUAAUUGUGCUUUAACAUUAGUAAUAUAACUUAGAGAUGAUGCCGAAAAGGCUCUAUAACAAUUACGAAUUUGUUUGUGCACUUGCUUAUUGUACCAAAUCAAAAUCUGGAACGUCGCGUUACUCUUUUACUAUUUUUAGCACCCUUAGGACUAAUAUAAAGCUUUGGCUCUAACUUAUAUUCACGAGAUUGAACUUGUACUAAAUUAUUGUUCUAAUCUUGACCAAGAUAACCAUCCAGUAUCAGUUCUAUAAGUCUUGGUAGCCUACUCACUGGCAUUGCGACAGCAAUGUCAUAGAUUCAUUUAUAAUUAACAGGAGCAGUCUCUCUGACGUGAUACGAUAAGGAAUUUGCCGCCAUCUAGGAAUGUUGUCUUGGAAGACCACAGUCCGUAUAACACAGAACAUUACAAGGUGCGACAUCAUCGCACGUGAUAUUUUACCUUUUCGCCACUAAACCCCCAAACGGGCGAAUACAUGGUGGAGGUGCUGGGAUACGAUCCCAUAAUAAAAAAUAAAAUUAUUGUCGGAAGGAUAAUGAAUGGCAUCGUUGACAUAUACCUAAACAAAAACAAAUCAUUGCUAAAAGAAAAAAAAAAUUGUUUUGGUAUUUGUUUAUUAUCAUCCAGGAAAACCCUCGCUCACUCGAAACCUAUAAAACUCUUAUACAAUGUGGUAUUACUUGAAAGAACUGUAAUUACUUCUACGUUGUCUACAAAAGGAAAGUAAGAAUUUACUUUAAAACAUCGAGACUUCCUAGCGUCAUGUAUGUGUUGUGUGUCAAAUUCACCAUUAAUAAUAAUACGCGUCUACAUAUGGCGCGCAUGAUGAAUAACAAUGGAAAUUAUAAAAGUUCAGAUAAAUAAUAUUCAAUGUUACAUUAUGUAUGUUAAAUUUCAUGAAGUUAGGAAUUUUAGGUAGGUAAAAUUAUAAUUGAAUUUGUCAAUUUAGUUAAGGUACAAAGUAUUUUUUCGCUUAAGCGUCGCGUUUUAGAUUCAAUAUGUAAAUACUUUACUUCGAAAGAUUAUUAGAGAAUAAUACUAGUAUAAUUUAUCCGUUUGAAUUUUAGGUUACAGGUAGGGUGAUAACCAUGAACCACAUAACUUUUACCAAAAUUGUAAUGGUUCAGAAAACAUUCUAUUGACCGGAAAUGCUCGAUCAAAAUGCGCACUAGGGAUGUGCUUGUGGGCGUUUUGCAUUUAUGACCGAAUUUAGACUAUGUUAUAAUUGAAAAGUUUUGACGAUCGCAUUAAAUUUUGAAAUAUGUAGAUCGGACAGACAAAAUAGUAUUUGUUUAAAAAAAAAAAAACAAAUCUGUAAAUUAUGAAUGCAACAAUGUCGUAAUACUUGAUUCAAGUGAAGAAAUCUAUUAAAAUAUCUUAGGUAUGACUUAAUAGGAACAGGAAUGAAAAACCUCAUAUAUUAUAAUUUUAUACCAAAAUUAAAUUUUCUCUUUCUAUUUCCUUAUAUGACUGUUGUGUAAUAAUUCUAACGGUUUGUUAGCUUAUAUUUACGCAUUCCUUUCUAGAACAAUAUUUUCCGGUACUGUCUGGAGCAAUAUUUUCAUAUUUUAACGCAAGCGUAACCGUAAAGUUUCUUUGUUCUACAAAUAUAAAAAAAAAAAAAAAAUGGGGUGGAAUUUAUUGUUAUAUAGUCAUGAUAUAAAAUAGAAAGGUUGAAAAUUUAAAUUAACUGUUUGGACAACAUUCAUAAGUAAUGUUUUGUGUAAAGGGAAAGUAUCCUUAGAUGAGAGAUAAAGUAAUUAUAUUUUUUUUUUCAUAUUCACGAAAAACAAUUCGAUCAUUAUACGAUUAUCAAUUUUCGAUUUUAUUUAUUUACAAACUAGUGCCACAUCUCUAAAACCGCGCGCUUACGCAGCUCGCUUGAAGCGGCCAUUUUGUGCGGUUUGUGUUUCGAUGUGCCUAGUAAAUCAAAAAGUUUGCAAUAAUAAUUAUUGUAGUGCCUGCGUGAUGGUAUGUGUGAACAGGAUCCAUAGAAACUUUUGGGUAUUUACAAGUAAGUAAGGUAUUUUCAUUAUGUUUGGUUCCAACUGCUACAACAUAACAAAGCUACUUCGUGUUUUAAAUUAGGCUAAAAUGGGUGUUAUGCGUGAACUGCUUGAAUUCUAUAUUGCACAUACGUUAUAUGCAUUGGAUUAACAACAAAGCUAUAUUAUGUGAUACACAUAUAUUCUAGGUAUCGCAUGUUUUUUGUUUGGCAUCUUGGGUUUGGUUAUUGCUAUUGGGUUGGUACUUGCACCUAAGCACCUCAUUAAAUUUUGCUAUAUUCAUCAAAAAUCAUUUCUCUUUUUGCUUAUCCAGGAAAACUACCUAUUUGCACAUAACUAUUAUUUUCUGUAUUUAGGUAUAGACUAGUAAAUAUUAUGUUUCCUAAGUUAAAACCAACCAUAUACUAUAAACUAUACAGGUAUCUGCCUAAGGCGUUUUGGUGAACUGAUGGUGUAGAUACAAGUAGGGUUAAUAAAUAUUAAUUUCUGUG